UGGUUGUGGUAGUGGGUUUUCCACCUA
rnacentral:piRNA from 1 species